GAUGAAGAACGUAGCGAAAUGCGAUAAGUAAUGUGAAUUGCAGAAUUCAGUGAAUCAUCGAAUCUUUGAACGCACCUUGCGCUCCUUGGUAUUCCGAGGAGCAUGCCUGUUUGAGUGUCAUUAAAUUAUCAAGCACAUGUGGCCUUUAUGGGUUUACUAUGGGCUUGGACUGUGGGGGUUGUAUAUUGCGGGCCUUUUGAAGGUUGGCUCCCCUGAAAAGGAUUAGCAGAACUGUUUGCGGUAUGCUACUGGUGUGAUAAUUAUCUACGCCUAAGUUGUGCUGCUCUCUAUAUGUUCAGCUCCUAAUUGUCCUUGUUGGACUAAUAAUAAUAAUGUUUGACCUCAAAUCAGGUAGGACUACCCGCUGAACUUAAGCAUAUCAAUAAGCGGAGGA
rnacentral:misc_RNA from 1 species